UUUUGACUUGGCGUACUUUCCUUCUUCUUUUGUUUUUUUUUUUUUUUUGCUUUUGCAAGAUUGUGACUACCACGAUAUUGGUUAUUGGGAGACAACCAUUGUGAAAUUUUGGAUUUCCAACCUCUUCGACAUUGGAUGAUGCAUAAUAUGUGAUUGAUCCCUUGAUGAGAUGUUCUUUUUUUGGAAUUUGAAUGCAUUGUCGAAUUAACUAAGAACUACCCUACCCUUGGUUAAGAUUAAAGGGUUUUUUUCGUACAGAAAGAAACACCAAUUUAUAGGCUCAAAGGGGUUGAUGAGGGAUUAUAUUCCUUAUAUCUCCGAUGUUUAAGAGGUGAAAC
rnacentral:lncRNA from 1 species